rnacentral:rRNA from 1 species
AUACGGAGGGGGUUAGCGUUGUUCGGAAUUACUGGGCGUAAAGCGCGCGUAGGCGGAUCAGAAAGUAUGGGGUGAAAUCCCAGGGCUCAACCCUGGAACUGCCUCAUAAACUCCUGGUCUUGAGUUCGAGAGAGGUGAGUAGAAUUCCAAGUGUAGAGGUGAAAUUCGUAGAUAUUUGGAGGAAUACCAGUGGCGAAGGCGGCUCACUGGCUCGAUACUGACGCUGAGGUGCGAAAGUGUGGGGAGCAAACAGGAUUAGAUACCCUGGUAGUCCACACCGUAAACGAUGAAUGCCAGUCGUCGGGCAGUAUACUGUUCGGUGACACACCUAACGGAUUAAGCAUUCCGCCUGGGGAGUACGGUCGCAAGAUUAAA